rfam:Picea glauca, whole genome shotgun sequence.
UUAUGUGCAUGCCUACAAUGUUAAUGCACCAUAUCCUGUUAGAAAUCCACAUUUAAGCACACUUGGGAUAGAGUAGUACUAGGAUGGGUGACCUCCCGGGAAGUCCUAGUGUUUUACAUGCU